rnacentral:lncRNA from 1 species
UUUUUGUUGUUGAGCCUAUUCUUAACAACUAAAAUGAGUUAUUAAAAACAGCAACUUUAAUUCUCGCAAGUGCACGAACCGUUUAUAGUAUAGCUUAUGUAAAUACGAGGUCGAUCCCACGGAGAAUGGUAACUUGGUUCCAAGUUAAAUUACUUAGAAUGCUAGAAAAACAUAGAACAAAGAAAGUGACUAACUAGCUAAAGGCAAGGUCGAAUUCAACAAUGCCUCUUGCUAAUUACUCAAGGUCUAGGACAGAAUCCUAGCACCACACACGCACUCGAAAUGGGGGGUUUUGUUGUUGAAAUGAAAACAAGAAAGUGAAAUGAAAGUGCUCGAAAGUAAACACUGGCAGCAAUCAACAAAUUGUGAAACAAUGAUUGAGAGGUGUUAGAGCCUUGGAAUCUGCCACUAGUCUUCCUAUCCAAGUUAUGAAUGCAUAGAAAUUGACUCAAGCUUCAUCAACAAUAGAUUAUCGCAUACAAGCCUAUGGUAUCUAGGUGCAGGAUGCAUCAUUCUCCUAAGGCAUGUGAUUGUGCAUGGUAUCUACACAGCACGUGAUCUCUAAUAUGCAACCUAAGCAUGGUAUCUACUUAGAAUAAAGCAUACAAGAGUCAUUAAGCUCCUUGAGAAUAUGAUAAUCACACAAGUCCUAGAACAUGGUAUCUGUCCUAGUCAACCUAUGGUUGUUAACCCCUUGAAUGAUUCUUAGGCCAUUCAUGUGUUGCUUGUGAAAGGAGAGUAGAAUUGGUGAAUCUAAACCCCUUCCCAACCUGUGCUAGAUGCAUAAAAUCCUAGUUAGCUACUCCAAGAAAACAUACAUCAAGCACAUAAUAAACUGGAGAUUAACAACUUGAUAAUAAAAGCAGGGAAAUCAAUUAACUAUAAAAUCAUCCAUAACGUUGAAUAUUCAUGACUAGGGCUUCAUCCUAAGCCCUAACUAAAUGGAUUAGUUAGACAUAACUAUGAACACAGAAAAUAAGAAAUACAUAGAUAGGAUAAAGAGAGGAGAAGAACUAGAUGAUGGCAGCAAGGAAGUUCCCAGGACAGCUCCAAGCUCCCUUGACAGCUCCAAGCUCCCUUCUGUCUUUGUGGUGAAUCUGAAUGUGUGUAUGAGAGUAAUGGAUGAAGUGAAUGUGUGUGUCUGCUCUCUCUCCUUGAAUGAGUGUGCAACUCUCUAUUUAUAGAGUGCAAUUUCGUGCUCCCCUUUGGCUGGUGAAACACACCUCUCUUAGCUGCUCCCAAUUGCCUAAGCUGCCCAAUAAAUGCCAACUUUUCCAGCUGCCCAAUAAAUGCUUUGGUGGACUUUUCUUGGUUUCUUUAUGGAAAGCUUGACUUUUGUUCAUCCUUUUGGGUUCCCAUACUGAUUUGUCUCCCAUGUGUAGCCUACCAUAAUUCCUGGAAAAUGGUCCUUGAUUUGUGCAGACAAGAUCCCCAUAAUUAAGCAUGCCAUGUUUUGCUCCUUUUUGACUUCCAUAGCUGAAAUGCCUCCCUAAUUUGCUCAACAUGUCAGGUCCAAAGUCAAACAAUGAUGAAGUGAGGCACAUGGCUCAAGGGAGGUGUGGAGCACAAGGCUCACCAGCUGGCAGCUACAUAUUAAAAUCCUCCUAGAGCAUGGUUCAGUGUUUGACAGGCCAAGGACUCUAUCUGUCAUUAAUUGGGCUGAAAUUUGGAUAUGUUAUACUAGACACCCAUUGGAACAACUUCUGUGAAGCAUGUCUCCUCAUCCAAGUAGUGUAGGUUGCUGAAAUGAGGCCUGCAAGAUGACCCACGAAUUUGGACUGACAAGGAGUGUGGCCCAAAUUGGUUCUGUCAUUAAGCUCAUAUUCCUCUUGUGCCAAUCAACCCUUAACAUGCAUGAAUUGUAUCAAAUGUGAUCCCCUUGUUGUCCUAACCUACAAAACACACAAACAUAGGUAAGAGACUCAAAAUAAAGAGAAACUAAACAAAAUUACUAAGCAAAGAAGACAUGCAAAUGUGUGAAAUUAUGACCUUAUCAAAUACCCCCAAACUUAGAUUUUGCUAGUCCUCGAGCAAAACAAAAUAAAAUUACAACUUAGGAAACAGGAAAUAAGCAACUAGCCUUCCAAACAAUAUCCUCAAAGAAUCAUCAGUGUAUAUGGUUCCAAAGAAACACAACAAUCACAAUCUAAGUUCCACACAUGAUUCACGAGAAAGCAAAGCUAGCAUUGACACCCUUAAGUGUAGUGUGUGAAUGCCAAAUCCGAACAACACCUGCAACUCAAAUAAGUACAUGCGCACACACUUAGAGCAAAAUCAAGAAUUCCGAACCCCAUAAGCUCAUUAUCCAAUCUGCUCUCCACAGUAAUACCAUGCAACACCAAGGAUCAAAAGGACUUUACAAGGGUAGUAAUGAGGUUUAGGGUAGUGGUUGAAUGAAAGAAGGGAUAUGAGAUAUACAAUAUUUUGAGCACACUUAAAGCACAGGUAAGAGCAUAAGAGAGUACUUAACUUUGUAACAAGCAAGGAACACAUACAUGAGCAGAUUUUCAACAUAAUUUCAGCACCUUGAAAUGUGUUUAUUUGGCCUAAUUUUGUGGCUCUUUACCCUAGAUCACCAUGAUGUUCUCCUUAUAACACCCUAGGGCCGUGACUACAUUGGUCACACUUCAUUACCUCUUUUGAUUAGUUACCAAUACCCCCAAACUUAUUUCUUUUCAACACUUGGGUUAUGGCACCAAUUAUUCACUUUUGCUCUAUAAACCUUGCAUUCUUUAUGACUCUCUUUUGAAGAUAGCUUUAAUUGCUCAUACAAUAAGUAAGGAUAAGAAAACAGAGGCUCAUUAUGGUAGGAUUCGUUUACACAAAGAAAGGCUUAACGUAGGCUCAAAUGGGAUGACUAGGGAUGAAUACAUGUAGAGGGAUGGUUAGAAAGGCUCAAACGGUUCAAACAUGGCCUAAAUCACUUCCUAAGCAUUGUAUGGCAACAAAAUGUCUCAAGAAAUAUUCAAAUAAGUUCUAGAGUAUGAAACCAAGAUCAUGAGAUAAGUAGAAUUGCAUAACGUCUCUAAGUAGCAAGACGUUGGACUAACUUGGCAAAGUGCUCUUAAGUGCAAGGAUGGCAUGCAAGACAGAGUUAACUCAGAACCACACAAAGUCCUUAAACAAUGACUAUCAAUUUCUGAGAAACCAUAUUAGUAUUAGAUCCAAGUCUUUAUCAUAGGUGUUUGGAAGGAUAACGAAACAACACACAAAAUCCUGCGUUUUUAGACAGUAGACACACUCAAAAAUUUUAAAAUUUGACAAUUUGAAACAACAUAACUAAAUCCUUCCCCCCAAACUUAAAUGAAACAUUGUCCUCAAUGUUUAGAGUGUAAGAAAAAGCAAUGCCUCAUAAAUGAAAGGAAAGAAGACAAGGGAAAGACAUAACCAAAGGUUAGAUUUCAGAAAAACUCCCCUUUGAAGCGAUUAGGACGCAAGCAGGCUUCCUCGCACGUUCUAUCUUCUCCUCGUCACCUUAGGUUGCCUCCCAAGAAGCGCUAAGUUUCACGUCUUCAGCCGGAUGUCCAAACUUUCUAUAGUGAAUGGGGGGGUUUGGGCUCAAUCGACACCUCAUGCAAUGCAAGACAGUUCACCAAGCUUGUUCUCCUUUUCCAUUGCUUCCUUGCUACUUUUCUUUUCCUUUUCUGUUUAUGAAUGGAAUCACAAUGAAUUGUAGGAAUGAUUGGAAUAUUCACAUCUCCAAGUUUGGGCAGCCCCUUCUUGUGUGUGGGAAUUGGAGCAUUGAACAUGUGGGCUGCCCUCUGCUCCUCCUUGUCUCCUCUUUUCAGCAAGCAUGAUUCUACUGAAUAAGGAAGGCCAUCAAAUCUCUCUUUCCCUGGAUUACCAAGUACUUCAAUUUGAAAACAAUCUUGUACAACAUUUGGCUUCAGGGCAUCAAACACUUUGAAGGCAACAGUUUCUCCAUUAACGAUCAUGGUGAGAGUGCCUUGCUCUACAUCAAUCUUGGUCUUAGCAGUAGCCAUGAAGGGUCGGCCAAAGAUAAGGGGCAAUUCAUUGUCAGGAAUUGGUGCUUCUUCCAUCUCCAAGACUAAGAAAUCAGCUGGCAAGAUUAAACCUUCUACGUUCACCAAAACGUCUUCUAGAAUGCCCUUGGGAUACCGAAUAGUUCUAUCUGCCAAUUGAAUGCUCACAGUUGUGGCUUGCAACUCACCAAGGUUAAGUUUCUCAUAAACAUGAUAUGGCAUAAGGUUAAUGGAUGCACCGAGAUCAAGCAAAGCUUUUGGAAUCUUGAAAUCACCAACAAUGCAAGGUAUAGAAAACGAACCUGGAUCCUUUAGCUUUGGAGGUAGCUUUCUUUGUAAAACUGCACUUACCUCUUCACUCAAUGCAACUUGUUCAUGCUCUUUGAAUCUCCUCUUGUUAGUGCAUAGAUCCUUCAAAAAUUUUGCAUACUUUGGAAUCUGAGUAAUGGCAUUGAGCAAUGGGAUGUUGAUUUGCACCUUCUUGAAUGUUUCCAUUAUCUCAUCCAAGCCUUGAUCUUUCUUUGACUUUGAUAACCUGCUGGGAAAGGGUGCAAUAGGCCUAAAAGCAUUAGUUGAAAUUGGAACUUGAUUAGCAUUAGAUGAUACCUUAGGGCCUGUGCUCUUUCCAGAAGGAUUGAGGGACUGUUUGUUGGAAACUGUGGGCUGCCCAUGUGGUGGCUGAAUGAUCUCCACGUUUUCUCCAUCUUCUUGCUCUUCAUUGGCAUCUCCAACCUUAUUAUCAACUUGUUUACCACUUCUCAAGAUGUGCACUACUUUAACUUGCUCAUGAUGCCUUGGAUUCACCUCUGUUUGGCUCGAAAAAGUUCCGGAUGCUCUAUGGCUCAAGGAGGAUGCAAUCUGCCCAACUUGCACUUCUAGUUUAUUCACUGCAUUUUGAAGAUUCUGAUUGGUUUGCAUCUGUUGCCCCAUGAACUUCUUGAACAUGUCUUGCAAUUCUCCCAUUUGAUCACCCCUUUGCUCUUGCACUUGUUGGGGAGCUUGCUGGAAUUGCCUUUGUUGUGUUUGGAAUCCUGGGAGAGGUCCUUGAGAUUGUUGCACAUUCGAAUUAUUGCUCCACCUGAAAUUAGGAUGAUUUCUCCACCCCGGAUUGUACAUGUUUGAGUAAGGAUCAUUAUUAGGAUUCCUUGCUUGAAGGGCAUUUGCUUGUUCUAGCAUCUGUUCUGCAAAAGAUUGGUCUUGAACUUCCACUUUGUUUCCUCGAGGGCCAGUCACUGCCUGUUGGAGCAAAGAACACAUAACAUCAAGUUUUGUAGCAAUCUCAUUAUUAGUACUUACCUCAGAGACCACAGCUUUCAUAGGAGCUCCUCUUCCUUUAUUGUGGCUCCAUUGUUGAGAGUUAGCACUCAAGGAUUCAAAGAGAGUAAAAGCCUCAUCUGCUGUUUUGUUCAUCAGUCCUUCUCCACUUGUUGCAUCUACCAUCAUCCUUUCGGAAUCAAGCAAACCUUCAUAGAAGGAUUGCAUUUGCAUCCAACUCUCUAUGUUGUGGUGUGGGCAAGAACUUAUCAUCUCCUUGUACCUCUCCCAACAUUCAUGAAACGCUUCUCCUUCCUUUUGUGUGAAACCAAGAAUUUCCUUUCUAAUCUUGUUAGUCUUUUGAGCCGGAAAAAAUUUCUGCAAAAACUUAUUAGAAAGCUCUUCCCAAGUAUGAAUUGAAGCAUUAGGCAAAGAGUAUAACCAAGACUUAGCUUUAUCUUUUAAACUGAAUGGAAAUAGCCUCAUCUUAAUCUGCUCAUCAUCAAGGUUUUGAAUUUUGAUCGUAGCACAUAUUUCAAAGAAUUGCUUAAUAUGCAUGUAAGGAUCCUCAGUGGUAUUACCAUAAUAAGUUGGAAGAAGAUGAAUCAUACCACUUUUAAGCUCAAACCUGUCAACUGUGAGUUGAGGAUAGACGAUGCAUGAAGGUUGAUCGGUGACUUUGGGAAUGGAAAACUCACGUAGGGGUUUUCUUGGUUGGACAACAAGCACACCACCUCCUUCAUCAUUGUUGUUGUUCGGAAUCUCUGCCAUGUUGCUUGAACCUUCAGAUUCGUAACUUUUAGAUUUAACGCUUGAAGAACUAUAAUUCCUCCUCAAACCAGCACGCACAGCAGCGGUUCUUGGUGAAAGUGGCUCAGGUGAACUUUGCUCCUGGUCAGAUUCGGACAUGCGCACACCAAGGAAGUCAAUUAAGUGCUUUCAAUGGAGAUAACAACAAAAUACAAAAACUGAAUACUAAAAGAAAAACUGACGAAAAGAAACAAAUGAAACAAACAAAAACAAAACAAUCAAAGUAAUCUAACUAUAGCACCAUCAUUACCGGUUUCCCCGGCAACGGCGCCAAAAACUUGUUGAGCCUAUUCUUAACAACUAAAAUGAGUUAUUAAAAACAGCAACUUUAAUUCUCGCAAGUGCACGAACCGUUUAUAGUAUAGCUUAUGUAAAUACGAGGUCGAUCCCACGGAGAAUGGUAACUUGGUUCCAAGUUAAAUUACUUAGAAUGCUAGAAAAACAUAGAACAAAGAAAGUGACUAACUAGCUAAAGGCAAGGUCGAAUUCAACAAUGCCUCUUGCUAAUUACUCAAGGUCUAGGACAGAAUCCUAGCACCACACACGCACUCGAAAUGGGGGGUUUUGUUGUUGAAAUGAAAACAAGAAAGUGAAAUGAAAGUGCUCGAAAGUAAACACUGGCAGCAAUCAACAAAUUGUGAAACAAUGAUUGAGAGGUGUUAGAGCCUUGGAAUCUGCCACUAGUCUUCCUAUCCAAGUUAUGAAUGCAUAGAAAUUGACUCAAGCUUCAUCAACAAUAGAUUAUCGCAUACAAGCCUAUGGUAUCUAGGUGCAGGAUGCAUCAUUCUCCUAAGGCAUGUGAUUGUGCAUGGUAUCUACACAGCACGUGAUCUCUAAUAUGCAACCUAAGCAUGGUAUCUACUUAGAAUAAAGCAUACAAGAGUCAUUAAGCUCCUUGAGAAUAUGAUAAUCACACAAGUCCUAGAACAUGGUAUCUGUCCUAGUCAACCUAUGGUUGUUAACCCCUUGAAUGAUUCUUAGGCCAUUCAUGUGUUGCUUGUGAAAGGAGAGUAGAAUUGGUGAAUCUAAACCCCUUCCCAACCUGUGCUAGAUGCAUAAAAUCCUAGUUAGCUACUCCAAGAAAACAUACAUCAAGCACAUAAUAAACUGGAGAUUAACAACUUGAUAAUAAAAGCAGGGAAAUCAAUUAACUAUAAAAUCAUCCAUAACGUUGAAUAUUCAUGACUAGGGCUUCAUCCUAAGCCCUAACUAAAUGGAUUAGUUAGACAUAACUAUGAACACAGAAAAUAAGAAAUACAUAGAUAGGAUAAAGAGAGGAGAAGAACUAGAUGAUGGCAGCAAGGAAGUUCCCAGGACAGCUCCAAGCUCCCUUGACAGCUCCAAGCUCCCUUCUGUCUUUGUGGUGAAUCUGAAUGUGUGUAUGAGAGUAAUGGAUGAAGUGAAUGUGUGUGUCUGCUCUCUCUCCUUGAAUGAGUGUGCAACUCUCUAUUUAUAGAGUGCAAUUUCGUGCUCCCCUUUGGCUGGUGAAACACACCUCUCUUAGCUGCUCCCAAUUGCCUAAGCUGCCCAAUAAAUGCCAACUUUUCCAGCUGCCCAAUAAAUGCUUUGGUGGACUUUUCUUGGUUUCUUUAUGGAAAGCUUGACUUUUGUUCAUCCUUUUGGGUUCCCAUACUGAUUUGUCUCCCAUGUGUAGCCUACCAUAAUUCCUGGAAAAUGGUCCUUGAUUUGUGCAGACAAGAUCCCCAUAAUUAAGCAUGCCAUGUUUUGCUCCUUUUUGACUUCCAUAGCUGAAAUGCCUCCCUAAUUUGCUCAACAUGUCAGGUCCAAAGUCAAACAAUGAUGAAGUGAGGCACAUGGCUCAAGGGAGGUGUGGAGCACAAGGCUCACCAGCUGGCAGCUACAUAUUAAAAUCCUCCUAGAGCAUGGUUCAGUGUUUGACAGGCCAAGGACUCUAUCUGUCAUUAAUUGGGCUGAAAUUUGGAUAUGUUAUACUAGACACCCAUUGGAACAACUUCUGUGAAGCAUGUCUCCUCAUCCAAGUAGUGUAGGUUGCUGAAAUGAGGCCUGCAAGAUGACCCACGAAUUUGGACUGACAAGGAGUGUGGCCCAAAUUGGUUCUGUCAUUAAGCUCAUAUUCCUCUUGUGCCAAUCAACCCUUAACAUGCAUGAAUUGUAUCAAAUGUGAUCCCCUUGUUGUCCUAACCUACAAAACACACAAACAUAGGUAAGAGACUCAAAAUAAAGAGAAACUAAACAAAAUUACUAAGCAAAGAAGGCAUGCAAAUGUGUGAAAUUAUGACCUUAUC